GUACACGGACAGGAUCACCAGCAAGUUGCCCAGGAUAUCUACCACGAUGGUGAAGAUGAGGAUGGCGGCCAAGGUGGAAGCCACCCAGGGGGGCCUGUCCAAGAAAGCCAGCCAGGUUCAUACACGGAUUUGGAGGCUGCAGGUCGCUGAGGGACCGUUGCCACCUGAAGAUGCGACGGUGCUUAUAGCCUUUUUAACGACUUUUUGUGCACGGGACUGGGAGGGGUGGCGUCGAGAAGACGAAGGAAGGAGAAGUUUGCCUGGCUGCUUUUUUUUGCUUUUUGUGUGUGUGUUUUUAAAUAAUACUUUGGAUAAAUAUCACUUUAAUUAAACACUUUCCGGAUGGGUU